UAAAUAAUCCCAAGAAAAACUGUAAGAGAUGAAGGAUGAUCUAUGAGCUGGUUUUUUGUUUGGAUGUCCUCCAGUCUCCCAUCAAUUAUGUCAUUCUUGCCGAAACCAGGUCGAAAAUUCAACAUUGGGAGCAUUUAAGGGGACAAAGGUCAUUUACGUCAUGUCAGGCCAACGCAGACUAAAUGCAGGAAUCACAGUACAAAUUCUUCUCGAUGUAUUCGAUAUACGAGGAAUUGUUCAUUACGGGAUAGCAGGGAGCGCCGACAACUCUCUAUCUUAUGGGGAUGUUAGCAUCCCAAAGUAUGUUGCUUUUACAGGUUCUUGGAAUUGGAAGGUAAAUUUGGAAUCAACCUGUUUAUAAUCCCGUUUGGUAAACUGCUAUCCAAACCUUCAAAAAUAUUUUCUUGGCUAUAAAGUGGAAUCUCUUACAAACAUUGUAAAUUGAUUUGGGAUUUGUUUCUAAACGACAUAUCUGGAUAAAAGUCUGAAGAGCCAACUGAUAGGCAAAGUCUUUGUCUGUAGAGAAUAAAUUACCAAGGAUCACCUUUUACACGGAAGCAGUCUGGCUCUGAGAAGCGAGAUAACAAUAGGCACGGGUGUCAGCCAUGGUACUUUUUAAUUGUAAUGCUAUAUAAAAUAUAAUUUGAAAGUGAAAAUAAUAUUCUUUGAAGAA